AGUGCAGUUGCUGGGUUGUAUGGUAACUAUAUGUUUAAUUUUUAAAGAAACUGUCAAACUGUUUUCCAGAAUGGCUGUACCAUUUUACAUUCCCAGCAGCACU
rnacentral:pre_miRNA from 1 species